rnacentral:lncRNA from 1 species
CUUUUCGGGUUAUACCGAAACUGGUUGAUUGGAAGUCAACUGUACUUAUUAAUACUAAAGGAAUAGGAUCCUCAUCAAUAAAUAGAAACGUAUAGGAAUAGUCAAACUACGUCUACGAAGUGUCAAUAUCAGGCGGCGGCUUCAAAUCCGAAGUGGUGAUUUGAUGUAAAGUGAUAUUUUAGUUGGCGUAAGAAGCAUACAAUUAGGAAAGCGGUGAUGUUGGCUGUAAGUCGUACGGCGAGAGCUAUGGGUUGGAUAAAGAGGCUGAUAGUCUCAAUGACUACAAGCAUAGGAAUUAGGGGGACAGGUGUUCCUUGUGGUAGAAAGUGGGCCAGAGAUGCUUUAGUCUUGUGGCGAAACCCGGUAAUUACAGUGCCGGCUCAUAGCGGGAUAGCUAUUCCUAAAUUUAUUGAUAAUUGGGUAGUUGGGAAAUCGUAUUUCAAGUUGUAUAUGCAUCUGGAUAGUCAGAAUAACGUCGUGGCAUUCCGGACAGGCCUAGGAAGUGCUGAGGGAAGAACGUUAUAUUGA